rnacentral:lncRNA from 1 species
CUGUGCCAGUGUGUCAGACACCAGAGGGAGAGAGGAAAACAGCCAAUACAAAAGGGAAUGAUCCCUGGCUCAAGAUGAGAAGGAAGGAGAGCUCUCUAUGUUCGUAGUCCAGCCAUAUAGGAUGCUUGGCCAAAAUGAAGGUAUAGAAAAGGAACAACCAAAGAAAGAACAGGACAUACUGGAUCUUUCUGGGUAUCAUCAAACUUCUCCAUCCAAGAAUAAGGGACAGCAGCAUCUCUUUGACAUCCAUAGCCCAUUUCUGCUUUGCCAAUAUCACUUGUGCAUCUGGGGCCACCAAUGCAUCCUAUCCUAGCAAGUAUCAAUGGGAAUAAAGAAGAAACUUAGAAAACGACAAAAUUCAAGAAGAGCUGAAGCUCUGGAGCUAGCUUUGGUGGAGAAAGAAUGAUGCGGGAUGUUGGACUAAGCGAGAAAUGCAUAAGAAGCUGGAAACCAGAAAGCAAGGAGACCCACUAACAUGGCCUACUCUGGUCGGCCUCUGGGCACAAAGGAGGGUGAAGAAAGGAUGGGAGCAGACAUGGAGGCACCAAUGCUGCUGAGUUUAACACAAAGCCAUAUAGAGGUCAUUUCUAUAGAGCACAAUAAAUACCAUUAUGUGUUAGACGGAUGGAUGGAUCACUUUUCUCCCCUUGCAAGGACCCUGGUCUAACCCCAGAUAUCAUCUCUUGGACUCUGCUAGCAGCCAUGGAAAUAGUACCCUGCUUCCAUCCCCGCCUCUUCUCAUUCCAUUUUUCAAGUAUAGACACAGCUUAAGGGACAAACAAGAUUCAAAACAUGAGAUUUCCAAAAGUAAAUUUUCAAGGUACUCCUAUGGGAAAGCGCCGUUGAGAAUAUCCUUCUCAGGUUUAGCACAGUCCCUCAAGGUAAGCACCUUCAACCCUGCUUCGACUGCAAAGAGUUCUUUAAGAAGGUAUGACUGAGAGGUCUCCGCUUUUCCUUCUUCCUAUUAAAAAUGGCUCUUAGAUGCUUUUAUUCUUAGUGAGGCCAUCCUAUUGUAGCACCAAUAUAGUUAUAUAAGCGCAUCGUUUCAUGCUCUAUUCACCUUCUGAAUCUUUUAACCCCACCUCCCUCAGCUGAGAAAAGAAAUACUAUGGGUUUAAAUCUAUCCUCUAUCAGCUGCAGCACGAUAAUUCUUACCCUAGGGCCCCAAACCCUCAUUUCAGACGGACUAAUCCAAACCUCUUUUGGAGG